AACGAACGCUGGCGGCGCGCCUAAUACAUGCAAGUCGAGCGAGAAGACGUAGCAAUACGUUUGUAAAGCGGCGAACGGGUGAGGAAUACAUGGGUAACCUACCCUCGAGUGGGGAAGUAACUAGCCGAAAGGUUAGCUAAUACCGCGUACGCUCCUUGGACUUCGGUUCAGGGAGGAAAGCGAUACCGUGGGUGUCGCGCUCUUGGAUGGGCUCAUGUCCUAUCAGCUUGUUGGUGAGGAACGGCUCACCAAGGCUUCGACGGGUAGCUGGUCUGAGAGGACGAUCAGCCACACUGGCACUGCGACACGGGCCAGACUCCUACGGGAGGCAGCAGUAAGGAAUAUUGCGCAAUGGGCGAAAGCCUGACGCAGCGACGCCGCGUGGGGGAGUGAAGGUC
rnacentral:rRNA from 1 species